UCCAUUUGAGUUUUUACUUUUUGAAUGCUAGGUAUAAUUGAUAUUGUUAUAUAUGCAAGCCCUAUCACAUUGGCCAAAGAUAAUGUCACAUACCUACAAGAUAUUGUACUAAUUGAUAAAAGUUGCUUUGCAGUUAUGUUGACCAUAUCAAGUCAUUUCAUAUAUGGGCCGAAUGCACUGGACAAUAUUAAGGAUGCAAUUCCUUUCUUAAUAUGUGGAUUAACUGUGAAGAAGAAUAAUGGUAAUUGCCUACUCACUAUAUAAUAUUCAUUAAACUUAUUUUACUAAUGGCGUUGUUCCAACAUUGCGGUAUCAAUAAUAUGACAUGUGACAUUUUUGAUUGAAAUAGAUGGAAUUUCAUUACACUGUGGUAUUGAUACAACUAUAACAAUUGAUCCCAGAUGUAAAAAGGCAAGAAGAAUGAUGUGUUGGUUUUUGAAACAUCGGUUUGCCCAACACAAAGUAAAUUGGAUAAAAAGAAGCUCAUUUUCGUUAUUUAUAACUCUAAAAAUAUCUAAUGCAAGGCGAACAACAAUCAACGAAUUCAUGAACAUGGACCAUG